rnacentral:rRNA from 1 species
AUGACGGAGGCUCUCAGUGAUAAGUAUUUGGGUUUGCCAGCAAAUGUGGGAAUAGAUAAAAUAUAUUGUUUCCAAUUUCUGAUUAAACGUAUUGUUAAUAAAAUUGGUGGUUGGAAGGAAAAAUUACUAUCUGUCGGGGGAAAGGAGAUCCCGCUCAAGGCUAUGAUCCAAGCCAUACGCACCUAUGCAAUGCCGGUCUUUAAAAUUCCUAAUUUUUUUUGUAAAGGAAUCAUUGACACGAUAGUGCAUUUCUGGUGGGGAGACGAGAAGAAUCAGAAGAGGAUGCAUUGGAUGUCCUGGUGGAAAAUGUGCGUACCCAAAAAUCAAGGAGGAAUGGGAUUUCGUGAUAUUCACUCUUUCAACCUGGCAUUGCUCGCCAAACAGGCAUGGCGUCUUUUGGAUAAUCCCGAUUCCUUGUGUGCCUCUAUCCUAAGGGCUAAGUACUACCCCGAUGGUGAUUUGUUGAACUCCAAGCUAAGGAAGGGAUCAUCUUUUACUUGGCAAAGCAUUAUGGUAGGCACAAAUUCUCUGAAACGUGGUUAUAUUUGGCGAGUGGGGAAUGGACAAAACAUCAAUAUUUGGGAAGACGCCUGGAUCCCAAGUUGUGCCAAUAGGAAAGUUGUAACGCCUAUGGCGGGACAACUGUUAACUAAGGUAGUUGACCUAAUUGAUCCUGUUUCCAAUAAUUGGGAUGAAGAUUUGAUUAGACAAACUACGUGGCCCGUCGAUGUACAAUGGAUUCUUUCAAUUCCACUCUGGCAACAUGAUAUGCCAGAUUUCAUUGCUUGGAGUAUCCGAAAAAUGGUAUGUUUUCGGUUCGGUCAGCUUACUCUAUCGAGUGGGAUCAUCAGUAUGUUAGCAAAUUAA